CCAUCUGAUUACAAGGUAUUGAAAUAAGAUUUUAAUUGAAUGCUAAGAGAAUGGACUCUCAGAGAAAAACUUUUUUUAAAUUAAAAAUUGAAAUUUUUUUAAUUUGUGCAGAAACAAUUAUUAAUAUUAAGGACAAGAAGACCCUAUGAAUUUAUUAAAUUUCAUUCAAUAUGUAAUUACUAUUGAAGAAAUUUUGGCUGGGGCGGCUAAAAAAUAUUUUAAACUUUUUAAAAAUAAAACGAUCCAUUAUUAAUGAUUAUAUGUUAAAUACUCUAGGGAUAACAGCGUUAUAUUUUUUGAUAGACCAUAUUGACAAAAAAGUUUGCGACCUCGAUGUUGGAUUAGGAUACUUUUUUAAUGCAGAUAUUAAAAAAAGAAGUUUGUUCAACUUUCAAUUUCCUACAUGAUCUGGUACC
rnacentral:rRNA from 1 species